GGUUGCCAGAAUUACAAUCAAACACUUUGGGUACUGCCUUCAAAAAAGGUUGGAAAGUGGCAGCUUCUGGGUGAUGAAAAGCUUCCAUCUUAUAAUUUAAAGGUCAGUUCAUGUUUUCCACUCUUCUCUAUUGCAUGCUAUGACAUAUAUGACAAUUGGAUGCCAUUUACCUCCAUUAUUAACUUCAAGAUCUAGCUUAUUAUGAAUGAAGAUUUUCUAGUUGAUGUGGCGAAGAUGAAGCCAUUUCUUUCUUCUGGUAAGUUGGUCCUUAAUAUUAAGGUAUGUUUCCUUCAUGAAUCUUUUUGCCCUUUGAAAGACAUUACAUUUAUAUGCCUAGAAAUGUGCAAGUAAUUUUCUGUGCAUUUGUUCUCUUUCUUGGUUUUUCCUAAUGCUGCAGGAUGUCAUGAUUGAAACUAAUGAGUUAGACUAAAUCCUGCCACAUUAUGCGGCCACCUUGCUGAUAUAUUUCCAAGAUGAGUCAGUGUCAGUUUCUGUUGAAUGUCAAGUUACCCCUGGAGCUUUACAUCAUUUCAAAGCCUGUUCACAACUUCUUGGAAAUCAAUUACUUCCAGGUUUUAUAAUUGAGCAGUUUGUGCUAGAGGUGCUACUUUCUUAUCAUUUUAGUGCCCUAGCUUUGCCUUAACAAUGAUUAAAUUCAUGUUUUGAUAAAUUUUUUGGUUCUAUAAUAGAGGGAGACCCUCCUUUCAUUUGCCAUGUUUUCUUAUGCCUUUUUCUGUUAUUGUCUCUCUGUGUUUG